GUCGAGUGCCGGCACGCCGGCAGCGGGAGACCCAAUUUUCAGGGGUGAAUUCACAGAUGUGAUAGAGAACCUUCUUUCUCGAACCCGUCAGCUAAUUCCGUAGACAUGGAA
rnacentral:sRNA from 1 species